rnacentral:rRNA from 1 species
UGCAAGUCGAACGGCAGCACGGGAGCAAUCCUGGUGGCGAGUGGCGAACGGGUGAGUAAUAUAUCGGAACGUGCCCAGUCGUGGGGGAUAACGCAGCGAAAGCUGUGCUAAUACCGCAUACGAUCUACGGAUGAAAGCGGGGGAUCGCAAGACCUCGCGCGAUUGGAGCGGCCGAUAUCAGAUUAGCUAGUUGGUGGGGUAAAAGCCCACCAAGGCGACGAUCUGUAGCUGGUCUGAGAGGACGACCAGCCACACUGGGACUGAGACACGGCCCAGACUCCUACGGGAGGCAGCAGUGGGGAAUUUUGGACAAUGGGCGAAAGCCUGAUCCAGCCAUGCCGCGUGCAGGAUGAAGGCCUUCGGGUUGUAAACUGCUUUUGUACGGAACGAAAAGGUCUUUUCUAAUAAAGAAGGCUCAUGACGGUACCGUAAGAAUAAGCACCGGCUAACUACGUGCCAGCAGCCGCGGUAAUACGUAGGGUGCAAGCGUUAAUCGGAAUUACUGGGCGUAAAGCGUGCGCAGGCGGUUAUAUAAGACAGAUGUGAAAUCCCCGGGCUCAACCUGGGAACUGCAUUAGUGACUGUAUAGCUAGAGUGCGG